GAGGUCUCAAGCGUUGUUCGGAUUCAUUGGGCGUAAAGGGUGCGUAGGCGGCGCGGUAAGUCGGGUGUGAAAUCUCGGAGCUUAACUCCGAAACUGCAUUCGAUACUGCCGUGCUUGAGGACUGGAGAGGAGACUGGAAUUUACGGUGUAGCGGUGAAAUGCGUAGAUAUCGUAAGGAAGACCAGUGGCGAAGGCGGGUCUCUGGACAGUUCCUGACGCUGAGGCACGAAGGUCAGGGGAGCAAACGGGAUUAGAUACCCCGGUAGUCCUGACAGUAAACGGUGCACGUUUGGUGUGGGAGGAUUCGACCCCUUCUGCGCCGGAGCUAACGCGUUAAACGUGCCGCCUGGGGAGUACGGUCGCAAGAUUAAAACUCAAAGAAAUUGACGGGGGCCCGCACAAGCGGUGGAGUAUGUGGCUCAAUUCGAUGCAACGCGAAGAACCUUACCUGGCCUUGACAUGCAUCUCUAAGCGCGUGAAAGCGCGUGAGUCCCGAAAGGGACAAUUUGCACAGGUGCUGCAUGGCUGUCGUCAGCUCGUGUCGUGAGAUGUUGGGUUAAGUCCCGCAACGAGCGCAACCCCUGUGAACUGUUGCCACCGAGCCGUGAGGCUCGAGCACUCUGUUCAGACUGCCCCGCUCUAACGGGGAGGAAGGUGGGGACGACGUCAAGUCAGUAUGGCCCUUACGGCCAGGGCUGCACACGUACUACAAUGCCCAGUACAGAAGGAUCCUAGACCGCGAGGUGGAGGAAAUCACUAAAACUGG
rnacentral:rRNA from 1 species